rnacentral:misc_RNA from 1 species
GUGAAUCAUCAAAUUUUUGAACGCAAAUUGCACUCUCUGCGGAGAGGAUGCCUGUUUGAGUGUCAGCCUAAAAAAAAUCGACAUAGUUUCUGUUACGCGGUAACAUUCGUCGGGAAUUGUGUCAACUUAGACUAUUGGGUUUAAGCGGCUUAAAAUUUUCGUUACGAUUUAAAGAGCGGUUCGAAGAUUUUAUUUUCUUGUACGUUUAAGUUAUCUGUCUUUAUUAGACGUGGCCGUUUCAUCUGAUCUUGUCCAUAAA